rnacentral:rRNA from 1 species
GGAAUGGAUAAGCGCUGAAAGCAUCUAAGCGCGAAGCCAACUUCAAGAUAAGAUUUCCCACCGCAAGGGUAAGACCCCAGAAAGACUAUCUGGUUGCUAGGUCGAAGGUGUAAGUGCAGCAAUGUAUUUAGCUUAUCGAUACUAAUAGGUCGAGGACUUGACCAAUAUUUAUU